UAGGGAAUCUUCGGCAAUGGACGAAAGUCUGACCGAGCAACGCCGCGUGAGUGAAGAAGGUUUUCGGAUCGUAAAACUCUGUUGUUAGAGAAGAACAAGGACGUUAGUAACUGAACGUCCCCUGACGGUAUCUAACCAGAAAGCAACGGCUAACUACGUGCCAGCAGCCGCGGUAAUACGUAGGUGGCAAGCGUUGUCCGGAUUUAUUGGGCGUAAAGCGAGCGCAGGCGGUUUCUUAAGUCUGAUGUGAAAGCCCCCGGCUCAACCGGGGAGGGUCAUUGGAAACUGGGAGACUUGAGUGCAGAAGAGGAGAGUGGAAUUCCAUGUGUAUCGGUGAAAUGCGUAGAUAUAUGGAGGAACACCAGUGGCGAAGGCGGCUCUCUGGUCUGUAACUGACGCUGAGGCUCGAAAGCGUGGGGAGCAAACAGG
rnacentral:rRNA from 1 species